rnacentral:tRNA from 1 species
GGAGAGGUGACCGAGUGGCUAAGGAGCACGCCUGGAAAGCGUGUAAGGUGUAACAGCCCCACGGGUUCGAGUCCCGUUCUCUCCGCCA